rnacentral:rRNA from 1 species
GAAACCGUGUACGUACAAGCAGUGGGAGCCUCUUAAUGGGGUGACUGCGUACCUUUUGUAUAAUGGGUCAGCGACUUAUAUUCUGUAGCAAGGUUAACCGAAUAGGGGAGCCGAAGGGAAACCGAGUCUUAACUGGGCGUUAAGUUGCAGGGUAUAGACCCGAAACCCGGUGAUCUAGCCAUGGGCAGGUUGAAGGUUGGGUAACACUAACUGGAGGACCGAACCGACUAAUGUUGAAAAAUUAGCGGAUGACUUGUGGCUGGGGGUGAAAGGCCAAUCAAACCGGGAGAUAGCUGGUUCUCCCCGAAAGCUAUUUAGGUAGCGCCUCGUGAAUUCAUCUCCGGGGGUAGAGCACUGUUUCGGCAAGGGGGUCAUCCCGACUUACCAACCCGAUGCAAACUGCGAAUACCGGAGAAUGUUAUCACGGGAGACACACGGCGGGUGCUAACGUCCGUCGUGAAGAGGGAAACAACCCAGACCGCCAGCUAAGGUCCCAAAGUCAUGGUUAAGUGGGAAACGAUGUGGGAAGGCCCAGACAGCCAGGAUGUUGGCUUAGAAGCAGCCAUCAUUUAAAGAAAGCGUAAUAGCUCACUGGUCGAGUCGGCCUGCGCGGAAGAUGUAACGGGGCUAAACCAUGCAC